UACGUAGGGUGCGAGCGUUGUCCGGAAUUAUUGGGCGUAAAGGGCUCGUAGGCGGUUUGUCGCGUCGGGAGUGAAAUCAUCUGGCUUAACUGGGUGCUUGCUUUCGAUACGGGCAGACUAGAGGUAUGCAGGGGAGAACGGAAUUCCUGGUGUAGCGGUGAAAUGCGCAGAUAUCAGGAGGAACACCGGUGGCGAAGGCGGGUCUCUGGGCCGUAACUGACGCUGAGGAGCGAAAGCAUGGGGAGCGAACAGG
rnacentral:rRNA from 1 species